GUGAGUAACGCGAGGGAACAUACCCUUUCCUGCGGAAUAGCUCCGGGAAACUGGAAUUAAUACCGCAUACGCCCUACGGGGGAAAGAUUUAUCGGGGAAGGAUUGGCCCGCGUUGGAUUAGCUAGUUGGUGGGGUAAAGGCCUACCAAGGCGACGAUCCAUAGCUGGUCUGAGAGGAUGAUCAGCCACAUUGGGACUGAGACACGGACCAAACUCCUACGGGAGGCAGCAGUGGGGAAUAUUGGACAAUGGGCGCAAGCCUGAUCCAGCCAUGCCGCGUGAGUGAUGAAGGCCUUAGGGUUGAAAAGCUCUUUCACCGAUGAAGAUAAUGACAGUAGUCGAAGAAAAAGCCCCGGAUAACUUCAUGCCAACAACCGCGGAAAUACAAAGGGGGAUAGCGUUGUUCGGAAUUACUGGGAGAAAAGCGCACAUAAGAGGAUAUUUAAAUAAGGGGUGAAAUCACACAACUCAACUGAGGAAC
rnacentral:rRNA from 1 species